UAAAAAUUUGAGAGUUCAGAAAAAAACUAGAGAUGAGAUAAAGUUUUAAAAUAAUUACUCCUGUGAACUUGGCAGCAUAAUCUAACAAAUUUGUUGGUGGAUUAUUGGAUAUAAUUUUCACUGAGGGCUCGUUCCCAAUUUUGAGCUGCUAAAUUCACACCAGCAGCACAACUGUUGGACAACAUUCAGAAUUUGAUGGCUAUUAUUUUCAUGAGGGUGAGAAUUUGAACUAUCGUGUAUCCAAUAUAAGUUCAGGCUAGGUGUUUGUGUGUUAUAAUUUUUUUUAUUCUUUGCAAGUUCUUCUUGAUUUUGUCAGUUAUACUGAUGUUAUUGAGUAUUCUCCAAUUGUUU